UAAGGAACCAAAAUUAUUUGGGUUAGAAUUUGAAUCUAAAUUAAGUAAUUAGCUAUUACUCCUUAAAU
rnacentral:tRNA from 1 species